CCUACGGGUGGCUGCAGUGGGGAAUAUUGGACAAUGGGGGGAACCCUGAUCCAGCCAUGCCGCGUGUGUGAAGAAGGCCCUCGGGUUGUAAAGCACUUUCAGUGAGGAAGAACGCCUGGUGGUUAAUACCCAUCAGGAAAGACAUCACUCACAGAAGAAGCACCGGCUAACUCCGUGCCAGCAGCCGCGGUAAUACGGAGGGUGCGAGCGUUAAUCGGAAUUACUGGGCGUAAAGCGCGCGUAGGUGGCUUGAUAAGCCGGUUGUGAAAGCCCCGGGCUCAACCUGGGAACGGCAUCCGGAACUGUCAAGCUAGAGUGCAGGAGAGGAAGGUAGAAUUCCCGGUGUAGCGGUGAAAUGCGUAGAGAUCGGGAGGAAUACCAGUGGCGAAGGCGGCCUUCUGGACUGACACUGACACUGAGGUGCGAAAGCGCGGGUAGCAAACAGGAUUAGAUACCCCAGUGUC
rnacentral:rRNA from 1 species